CAAAGAGGGAUGCGGGGGAAAGACAGAUGAGCAAGAGACAGCCAAGCGUUUUCUAUUGCACUACACGAGAGGCGGUGAUGUAUGGCAGCAUUCUCACAAGUUGAAACUCCUGUCCAUCUUCCACAGUUUCAUUAUUUCAAGACAAUUUGCAAUAUUGGAAGUGGAAGUCCAGCUCCCUCAGAAUAGGAACUGUGCAUAAAGAGACUUUUUUCACAGUUAAGGCAAACAAAUAAAACAUACUAAAACCUACUGAAGCAAACAAUUCCCACUCAACCCCCCCAACCUCGUGUUUCUUCCUAAAAAUCUGACGUUUUGCUGCACUCGAGAAAGGGCGAGGGAGGGAGCCGCAGAAUCGUGCGGGAAGGAACGAGGGGAUGCAAAGAUGAAAGAAAGUGGUUGUGAUUAGCAGCUUUGGAGGGGGGUGCUGAUAAUAAAACAUUUCCUGAAACCAAUCUCUGCUUUGAUGUCAAUGCGCGCGUGCCUGCGUGUGUGUGAAUGUGAGUGUGCGGUGUGAGAUAACUUCAUUUCGGAAAC